rnacentral:rRNA from 1 species
GACGAACGCUGGCGGCGUGCCUAAUACAUGCAAGUUGAGCGCUUAAGGUUGGUACUUGUACCAACUGGAUGAGCAGCGAACGGGUGAGUAACGCGUGGGGAAUCUGCCUUUGAGCGGGGGACAACAUUUGGAAACGAAUGCUAAUACCGCAUAACAACUUUAAACACAAGUUUUAAGUUUGAAAGAUGCAAUUGCAUCACUCAAAGAUGAUCCCGCGUUGUAUUAGCUAGUUGGUGAGGUAAAGGCUCACCAAGGCGAUGAUACAUAGCCGACCUGAGAGGGUGAUCGGCCACAGUGGGACUGAGACACGGCCCAAACUCCUACGGGAGGCAGCAGUAGGGAAUCUUCGGCAAUGGACGAAAGUCUGACCGAGCAACGCCGCGUGAGUGAAGAAGGUUUUCGGAUCGUAAAACUCUGUUGGUAGAGAAGAACGUUGGUGAGAGUGGAAAGCUCAUCAAGUGACGGUAACUACCCAGAAAGGGACGGCUAACUACGUG